rnacentral:lncRNA from 1 species
CUAAAUUCAAAACUAAUAUUCAUGAAUAUUAAUAAAAUUCUAAUAAAAUCUUAAUAAAAUUCUAAAUCUUAAAUUUAUUCUAAUGAAUCCUAAUGAAUCUUAAUCAAAUCCUAAACAAGCCUUAAACAAAUUCUAGUCAAUUUCUAAUCAAAUUCAAACAAAAUCCUAAAUUCUAACCAAAUCUUACUUAAAUGCUAAUCAAAACCAAAAAAAUCCUAAAUCUUAAUAAAAUCCUAAUC